rnacentral:lncRNA from 1 species
GAAAUAUUUUUUAUAUAUACAUAAAUAACCUCUCUGUAUGUACUAAUUUACAGCUGUAGAUAUAAUUUAAAAUAUUUUUUUCUUCAGGAAGAACUCCAAGGACCUGGAGGGAUUCAAAGCAGAGGCUACUUCUUUUACAGGCCACGUAAUGGAAGGAGAUCAGUGGGUUUUCGCUGAGGAGGAUUAUAGAUUCCUGACUUAGAACAAAAACUGCAGGAAUGCUGAGUACAUGGACAUACUGUUUUCCUUACAAUAAUUAUUUGUCAUUAAUGUACAAUUAGAAGUCACUCGAAUGUAAAUAUUCUUAAACCAGAUUCUGUUAAGAAGGUCUUUGCUAUCUUGAUUAUAUUAAAAGCAUAUUAAAAUUAUUUGUUUCCUAGUGUUAUGACGUUUACAACCACAUGUAAUUCAACUGUAAAAGAGUCAUUGCUUGCUAGCAACAGACAUUGCCUCUGUUAAGCAAAUUUUCCCUUCUAAAUAAAGGCCCUCAGCCAGACA